AUUGAACGCUGGCGGCAUGCCUUACACAUGCAAGUCGAACGGCAGCACGGGUGCUUGCACCUGGUGGCGAGUGGCGAACGGGUGAGUAAUACAUCGGAACAUGUCCUGUAGUGGGGGAUAGCCCGGCGAAAGCCGGAUUAAUACCGCAUACGAUCUACGGAUGAAAGCGGGGGACCUUCGGGCCUCGCGCUCUUGGGGUGGCCGAUGGCUGAUUAGCUAGUUGGUGGGGUAAAGGCCUACCAAGGCGACGAGCAGUAGCUGGUCUGAGAGGACGACCAGCCGCACUGGGACUGAGACACGGCCCAGACUCCUACGGGAGGCAGCAGUGGGGAAUUUGGGACAAUGGGCGAAAGCCUGAUCCAGCAAUGCCGCGUGUGUGAAGAAGGCCUUCGGGUUGUAAAGCACUUUUGUCCGGAAAGAAAUCCUUGGCCCUAAUACGGUCGGGGGAUGACGGUACCGGAAGAAUAAGCACCGGCUAACUACG
rnacentral:rRNA from 1 species